rnacentral:rRNA from 1 species
AACGAACGCUGGCGGCAUGCCUAACACAUGCAAGUCGAACGAGACCUUCGGGUCUAGUGGCGAACGGGUGCGUAACGCGUGGUAACCUGCCCUUAGGUUCGGAAUAACUCCCCGAAAGGGGUGCUAAUACUGGAUAAUGUCUUCGGACCAAAGAUGUAGCGCGUGUGGAUGGGCCCGACUUGGCUUAGUUAGUUGGUAGGGUAAAAGCCUACGAAGGCGACGGUCCAUAGCUGGUCUGAGAGGAUGAUCAGACACACUGGGACUGAGACACGGCCCAGACUUCUAGGGGAUGCAGGAGUGGGGAAUCCUGGAAAGUCGGCUAAAGCCUGAUCCAGCAAUGCCGGGUGAGUGAUGAAGGCCUGAGCGUUGUAAAGCUCUUUUACCCGGGAUGAUAAUGACAGUACCGGGAGAAUAAGCUCCGGCUAACUCCGUG